rnacentral:rRNA from 1 species
GAGUUUGAUUCUGGCUCAGGCUUUCCGCUGGCGGCGUGCUUAAUGCAUGCAAGUCCAACGAGAACCCCUCUUUAGGUAACUAUCGAGGGACUUCUAGUGGCGAACGGGUGAGUAACACGUGAGCAACCUGCCCCAAAGACCGGGAUAGCCCAUGGAAACGUGGAUUAAUACCGGAUGCCCUCGCGGAACCGCAUGAUUCUGUGAGGAAAUGCUCCGGCGCUUUGGGAUGGGCUCGCGGCCUAUCAGCUUGUUGGUGAGGUAAUGGCUCACCAAGGCACUGACGGGUAGCUGGUCUGAGAGGACGAUCAGCCACACUGGGACUGAGACACGGCCCAGACUCCUACGGGAGGCAGCAGCAGGGAAUAUUGCACAAUGGGCGCAAGCCUGAUGCAGCGACGCCGCGUGAGGGAUGAAGGCUUUCGGGUUGUAAACCUCUUUCAGUGGGGAAGAAGCGCAAGUGACGGUACCCACACAAGAAGGCCCGGCCAACUACGUGCCCAGCAGCCGCGGCAAUACGUAGGGGGCCAAGCGUUAUCCCGGAUUUAUUUGGGGCGUAAAAGAGCUCGUAGGCGGGCUUGGUAAGUCCGGUCGUGAAAAUCCCGAGGCUCCAACCCUCGGGAAUGCC